GACGAACGCUGGCGGCGUGCUUAACACAUGCAAGUCGAACGGUGAAGCGCCUUCCUUUUUGGUGGGUGUGGAUGAGUGGCGAACGGGUGAGUAACACGUGAGUAACCUGCCCCCUUCUUCUGGAUAACCGCAUGAAAGUGUGGCUAAUACGGGAUAUUCUGGGUCUGUCGCAUGAUGGGUCUGGGAAAGAUAUUGUUUCGGUGGGGGAUGGGCUCGCGGCCUAUCAGCUUGUUGGUGGGGUGAUGGCCUACCAAGGCGGUGACGGGUAGCCGGCCUGAGAGGGUGGACGGUCACACGGGGACUGAGACACGGCCCAGACUCCUACGGGAGGCAGCAGUGGGGAAUAUUGCACAAUGGGCGCAAGCCUGAUGCAGCGACGCCGCGUGAGGGAUGGAGGCCUUCGGGUUGUGAACCUCUUUCGCCAGUGAAGCAGGCCUGCCUCGUUUGUGGGUGGGUUGACGGUAGCUGGAUAAGAAGCGCCGGCCAACUACGUG
rnacentral:rRNA from 1 species